AUUGAACGCUGGCGGCAUGCUUUACACAUGCAAGUCGAACGGCAGCGCGGGGGCAACCCUGGCGGCGAGUGGCGAACGGGUGAGUAAUGCAUCGGAACGUAUCCUGUAAUGGGGGGAUAACGUAGCGAAAGUUACGCUAAUACCGCAUACGCUCGAGAGAGGAAAGUGGGGGAUCGCAAGACCUCACGUUAUAGGAGCGGCCGAUGUCCGAUUAGCUAGUUGGUGGGGUAAAGGCCUACCAAGGCGACGAUCGGUAGCUGGUCUGAGAGGAUGAUCAGCCACACUGGGACUGAGACACGGCCCAGACUCCUACGGGAGGCAGCAGUGGGGAAUUUUGGACAAUGGGCGAAAGCCUGAUCCAGCCAUGCCGCGUGCGGGAAGAA
rnacentral:rRNA from 1 species